CGGGAGAGGGCCAUGCUGUUCGACGAGAACAAGAAGUUAACAGCAGAAAACGAAAAGCUCUGUUCCUUUGUGGAUAAACUAACAGCCCAAAACAGACAGCUGGAGGACGAGCUGCAGGACCUGGCCUCCAAGAAGGAGUCGGUCGCUCACUGGGAGGCGCAGAUUGCAGAGAUUAUUCAGUGGGUCAGCGAUGAGAAAGAUGCCAGAGGCUACCUUCAAGCACUUGCUUCUAAGAUGACCGAAGAGCUUGAGACUUUGAGAAGCUCUAGUUUGGGAUCCAGGACACUGGUAAGGUGCUGUCUAAACCUUGGUCUCUUCUCCUGGAAAGCUCACUGCUGGUUUUAUUAUAAGCAAGUAUGGAGCUUGAUUCCUGUGCACAGGUCUCGUGUGGCUUGCAGGACACGUGGCAGCUGUCAGCCAAGCAUCUCGUGGGCUCAGGGCUCAUCUCUUAGCUGUUAACCUGAUGAGGAGCUAAGCUAUGACCUCAGAGGAGCAGGACGGGCUGACACAGGGCCCUUUACUGAGGACGUCCUCUACGCACUCCCUUGGCUCUGUUCUGAGCUUGAGGGUGUCAGUCUCUGGGCUCUAUGGGGACCUGACUCUGCCCUUAUUCCUG
rnacentral:lncRNA from 1 species